rnacentral:rRNA from 1 species
UACGUAGGGUGCAAGCGUUGUCCGGAAUUAUUGGGCGUAAAGAGCUCGUAGGCGGUUUGUCGCGUCUGCUGUGAAAACUCGGGGCUUAACCCCGGGCCUGCAGUGGGUACGGGCAGACUAGAGUGCGGUAGGGGAGACUGGAAUUCCUGGUGUAGCGGUGAAAUGCGCAGAUAUCAGGAGGAACACCGGUGGCGAAGGCGGCUACCUGGACCGGUUCUGACGCUGAGGCGCGAAAGCGUGGGUAGCAAACAGG